UGUUUGCCUGCAGCAAGAUGGCGGCGGUCUCAAUGUCAGGGGUGCUGAACCAGGCGGUGUGGUGGAGAAGGGCAGUAGGUGUAGCUGCUAUUUCCGUUUCCAGGGUCCCGACCAGGUCGUUGAGCACUUCCACAUGGAGGCUAGCACAGGACCAAAUUCAAAACACACAGCUCAUAACAGUUGAUGAAAAAUCGGAUAUCACUACUUUAACUGGCGUUCCAGAAGAACAUAUCAAAACUAGAAAAGUCACGAUCUUUGUUCCUGCUUAAAAUAACAUGCAGUCUGGAGUAAACAACACAAAAAAAUGGAAGAUGGAGUUUGAUACCAGGGAGCGAUGGGAAAAUCCUUUGAUGGGCUGGGCAUCAAUGGCUGAUUCUUUGUCCAACAUGGUUCUAACCUUCAGUACGAAAGAAGGUGCAGUUUACUUUGUGGAAAAAAAUGGAUGGAGCUAUGACAUUGAAGAAAAGAAGGUUCUGAAACCAAGUCCAAGUCUGAUGGUGCACACUUUUCUUGGAACAUAAGAACAAGAGUAUCCACUGAAUAG